AAUAGAUAUAUCCUGGAUUGAUACUGGGUGUCUGCUUGAGUAGAUGCUACGGACCUGCGCUUAAUUGCGCGGUUUGUAGAGCUACUUUUUUGCGGAUGCUACCAACGGUGUCUUUCUACUUUACACACUGUGGAGAUUUCUUCUUUCAGUAUUUUUCUUUGGGCUUUCAAGCCCAGAGGUUCUAAACACAAACAACUUUGUAUUUUAUACUAGUCAUGAUCAGUUUUAUUUUGAAACUACAAACUUCAAAACUUUCAACAACGGAUCUCUUGGUUCUCGCAUCGAUGAAGAACGCAGCGAAAUGCGAUACGUAAUGUGAAUUGCAGAAUUCCGUGAAUCAUCGAAUCUUUGAACGCACAUUGCGCCCCUUGGUAUUCCAGGGGGCAUGCCUGUUUGAGCGUCAUUUCCUUCUCAAACACCUGUGUUUGGUUGUGAGUGAUACUCUCUUUUGAGUUAGCUUGAAAGUGUUGGCCGAUUGCAGUUGUAUUGCGAAUGUGUGCAGUUUAGUUUGAGUAGUGUUGCGUGUGUCCACUUGUGGGCACGGGUGAGCUGUCCAUUCAACUGUGUGUGUUUUUGAUACUGUGCUGUUAAAAUGUACAAGGUCGUAUUAGGUUUUACCAACUCGAUUGCGUGUAUUUUUAUAGUAUAGUAGAGAAGGCGUGCAUGGGGGUAGUAAGUCUAGCAGUGUUGCUUGAUACUAUGUUGUGCUAAUUUGUUGUAGCUGUGGCGAACAAUAUUCUCCAAGUUUGACCUCAAAUCAGGUAGGAAUACCCGCUGAACUUAAGAACUA
rnacentral:misc_RNA from 1 species